UACGGGGGGAGCAAGCGUUGUUCGGAUUUACUGGGCGUAAAGGGCGCGUAGGCGGCGCAACAAGUCACUUGUGAAAUCUCCGGGCUUAACCCGGAGCGGCCAAGUGAUACUGUCGUGCUAGAGUGCGGAAGGGGCAACUGGAAUUCUCGGUGUAGCGGUGAAAUGCGUAGAUAUCGAGAGGAACACCUGCGGCGAAGGCGGGUUGCUGGGCUGACACUGACGCUGAUGCGCGAAAGCUAGGGGAGCGAACGGG
rnacentral:rRNA from 1 species